UACGUAGGGUGCGAGCGUUAAUCGGAAUUACUGGGCGUAAAGCGUGCGCAGGCGGUUUUGUAAGACAGGCGUGAAAUCCCCGGGCUCAACCUGGGAAUUGCGCUUGUGACUGCAAGGCUAGAGUACGUCAGAGGGGGGUAGAAUUCCAGCGUGUAGCAGUGAAAUGCGUAGAGAUGUGGAGGAACACCGAUGGCGAAGGCAGCCCCCCUGGGCUAACACUGACGCUCAUGCACGAAAGCGUGGGGAGCAACAG
rnacentral:rRNA from 1 species